AGACCAGAGGAGCAAUUUGUGCCACCCCCACAAGACUCGAACCGACAAGGUGAAGGGUCCUUUUCUAUGUCUCAGGACCAAUGGGGUUGGAUACAAACUGAGAUGGGUGUCCUCCGCACCGAGCAAACUAGACAAGGUGUGGAAUUGUUCCGACAAGGGACGGUUAUGGAUGACAUGCAAGCUAUGAUGCAAUGUCUGAUGUUGCAUUUCCUGCAUGAUCCUCCACCUCCUCCACAACAGUAGUCGCUGUGAGUCCCCUUUGUAUCUGGAUUUAAACAUUGAGGUCAAUGUUUAGUUCAGGUGUGUGGGGGUUUUUCCUUUCAUGUU
rnacentral:lncRNA from 1 species